rnacentral:rRNA from 1 species
GAUGAACGCUGGCGGCGUGCCUAAUACAUGCAAGUCGAGCGAACGGACGAGAAGCUUGCUUUUCUGAUGUUAGCGGCGGACGGGUGAGUAACACGUGGAUAACCUACCUAUAAGACUGGGAUAACUUCGGGAAACCGGAGCUAAUACCGGAUAAUAUUUUGAACCGCAUGGUUCAAAAGUGAAAGACGGUCUUGCUGUCACUUAUAGAUGGAUCCGCGCUGCAUUAGCUAGUUGGUAAGGUAACGGCUUACCAAGGCAACGAUGCAUAGCCGACCUGAGAGGGUGAUCGGCCACACUGGAACUGAGACACGGUCCAGACUCCUACGGGAGGCAGCAGUAGGGAAUCUUCCGCAAUGGGCGAAAGCCUGACGGAGCAACGCCGCGUGAGUGAUGAAGGUCUUCGGAUCGUAAAACUCUGUUAUUAGGGAAGAACAUAUGUGUAAGUAACUGUGCACAUCUUGACGGUACCAAAUCAGAAAGCCACGGCUAACUACGU